GACGAAGGAUGCAAGCGUUAUCCGGAUUCAUUGGGUUUAAAGGGAGCGUAGGCGGCCUGGUAAGUCAGUGGUGAAAUCUCGCAGCUUAACUGCGAAACUGCCAUUGAUACUGCUAGGCUAGAGUACAGAUGCUGUGGGCGGAAUAUGACAUGUAGUGGUGAAAUACAUAGAGAUGUCAUAGAACACCGAUUGCGAAGGCAGCUCACAAAAACUGUAACUGACGCUGAGGCUCGAAAGUGUGGGGAUCAAACAGG
rnacentral:rRNA from 1 species